CCUUACCUACUCUUGACAUCCAGAGAACUUAGCAGAGAUGCUUUGGUGCCUUCGGGAACUCUGAGACAGGUGCUGCAUGGCUGUCGUCAGCUCGUGUUGUGAAAUGUUGGGUUAAGUCCCGCAACGAGCGCAACCCUUAUCCUUUGUUGCCAGCGGUNCGGCCGGGAACUCAAAGGAGACUGCCAGUGAUAAACUGGAGGAAGGUGGGGAUGACGUCAAGUCAUCAUGGCCCUUACGAGUAGGGCUACACACGUGCUACAAUGGCAUAUACAAAGAGAAGCGACCUCGCGAGAGCAAGCGGACCUCAUAAAGUAUGUCGUAGUCCGGAUUGGAGUCUGCAACUCGACUCCAUGAAGUCGGAAUCGCUAGUAAUCGUGGAUCAGAAUGCCACGGU
rnacentral:rRNA from 1 species